GACGAACGCUGGCGGCGUGCCUAAUACAUGCAAGUCGAGCGCAGGAAGCCGUCUGAACCCUUCGGGGGGACGACGGUGGAAUGAGCGGCGGACGGGUGAGUAACACGUAAAGAACCUGCCCAUAGGUCUGGGAUAACCACGAGAAAUCGGGGCUAAUACCGGAUGUGUCAUCGGACCGCAUGGUCCGCUGAUGAAAGGCGCUCCGGCGUCGCCCAUGGAUGGCUUUGCGGUGCAUUAGCUAGUUGGUGGGGUAACGGCCCACCAAGGCGACGAUGCAUAGCCGACCUGAGAGGGUGAUCGGCCACACUGGGACGGAGACACGGCCCAGACUCCUACGGGAGGCAGCAGUAGGGAAUCUUCCACAAUGGACGAAAGGCUGAUGGAGCAACGCCGCGUGAACGAUGAAGGCUUUCGGGUCGUAAAGUUCUGUUGUAGGGAAGAACAAGUGCCGCAGGCAAUGGCGGCACCUUGACGGUACCUUGCGAGGAAGCCACGGCUAACUACGUGCCAGCAGCCGCAGUAA
rnacentral:rRNA from 1 species